rnacentral:rRNA from 1 species
UACGUAGGGUGCAAGCGUUGUCCGGAAUCAUUGGGCGUAAAGCGCACGUAGGCGGUCGGCUAUGUCGGAUGUGAAAGCCUCGGGCUUAACCCGAGAAGGGCAUCCGAAACUGGCCGGCUUGAGUACGGAAGAGGGUCUCGGAAUUCCCGGUGUAGAGGUGAAAUUCGUAGAUAUUCGGAGGAACACCAGUGGCGAAGGCGGCUCACUGGUCCAUUACUGACGCUGAGGUGCGAAAGCGUGGGGAGCAAACAGGG